rnacentral:rRNA from 1 species
AUUGAACGCUGGCGGCAGGCCUAACACAUGCAAGUCGAACGAGUGGCGGACGGGUGAGUAAUGUCUGGGAAACUGCCUGAUGGAGGGGGAUAACUACUGGCAACGGUAGCUAAUACCGCAUACCCUCGGAUGUGCCCAGAUGGGAUGAGCUAGUAGGUGGGGUAACGGCUCACCUAGGCGACGAUCCCUAGCUGGUCUGAGAGGAUGACCGGCCACACUGGAACUGAGACACGGUCCAGACUCCUACGGGAGGCAGCAGUGGGGAAUAUUGCACAAGGGGCGAAAGCCGGAUGCAGCAAGGCGGCGUGUAUGAAGAAGGCCUUCGGGUGGUAAAGUACUUUCAGCGGGGAGGCGUUACCCGCAGAAGAAGCACCGGCUAACUCCGUGCCAGCAGCCGCGGUAAUAC